CGAUGCUUCAAUUCAAAUCAUCUGCCCUAUCAACUUUCGAUGGUCAGGAUCAGUGGCCUACCAUGGUUUCAACGGGUAACGGGGAAUAAGGGUUCGAUUCCGGAGAGGGAGCCUGAGAAACGGUACCACAUCCAAGGAAGGCAGCAGGCGCGCAAAUUACCCAAUCCCGACACGGGGAGGUAGUGACAAUAAAUAACAAUAUAGGGCUCUUUCGGGUCUUAUCAAUUUGGAAUGAGUACAAUUUAAAUCCCUUAACGAGGAACAAUUGGAGGGCAAGUCUGGUGCCAGCAGCCGCGGUAAUUCCAGCUCCAAUAGCGUCAUCAUCUCAAAGUUGGUUGCAGUUCAAAAAGCUCGUAGUUAGAACUUCAGGCCUGGCUGGAUGGUCCUACCUAACGGUAUGUCACUGUCUGGCUGGGUCUUAACUCUUGGUGAGCCGGCAUGCACUUUACUGGGUGUGUAGGGGAACCAGGACUUUUACCUUGAGAAAAUCAGAGUGUCAGAGCAGGCUAUGCCCGAAAUACAUUAGCAUGAAUAAUAAAACAGGACGUGCGGAUCUAUAAAGUAGGUUCUAGAGUCGGCGUAAUGAUUAAUAGGGAUAGAUUGGGGGCAUUAGUAUUCAGUUGCUAGAGGUGAAUUCUUGGA
rnacentral:rRNA from 1 species